AUUUUACUACUCACUGGGGAAAAUGAAAAAUGAAUCAGGUACAGUUCUUGCCUUCAAAGGCUCAAAUCUAUUAUAGCAGAUAAGAUAUGGGCACACAUAGCAUAAACAUAGUAGUAACAGUAAAAUUGAUAAUGAUGAUAAUAGCCAUUGCUUAUAUAGAGCUCACUAUAUUCCAGGAAGUGUUUUAAAUAUAUCACAUAUUUUAAUAUAUUAAAUCCUUACAGUGACCUUACGAGAAAAGUAUUAUUGUUAUCCUCCAUUUUGCUAAUGAGGAACAGAGGCCCAAGAAGGCUAAGGGACUUGUCAAAGGCCACAGAGCUAGCGAGUGGCAGAGCUGUGAUUCAGUUCUAGGCAGCCCAGUGCUAAGAUAAAAAGUAAUCAUUGUAAUUAGAGGGGAACAUUGCCUAGGCUACUCUCGAACUCCUGGGCUCAAGUGAUCCUCCUGGCUUACCUUCCCAAAGAGCUGAGAUUACAGGCGUAAGCCACCACCCACACCUGGCCCCAAACUGGCUUUCGAGGCUGUCCACAGUCCAGACUUGCAUAUCCAACCUACCUCUCCUCAAGGAAAAUACUUUCUCUAACUGGGUUCUUCAGAAUUCAGGAGCACAUCCCACUCUUGGCCAAUCCCACACCUUGGCUCACCAAGUCCCAGAAAAUGACUCAUGCUUUUAUCUGUCUCCACCUACUCCCUCCAGCCAGCCCAAGCUAACCUGUCUCCUUACAACUCUUUCAGUCUUGCCACUCAUUUAAUCCUGCCCUGACCUGUGUGCUUCCCCACACCCAGCAUUAUGAUGGGUCCUCGAUCCUGUCUCCUGCAGAACUGCAGCAGCCUCCUUGAUUUCCAUGGAAUGUCUGGAGUGUCAUUCCCGGGCCUCUGCAGAGAUGAUUAUUUUAUUUCGAUGUGUUUUUGUUGGCAGCAGUCUGAUGCAUCAUCACACAUCCAACUCAAUGUGUGAUGUGCAUCAUACAGUGCUCUUACAAGAGGAGUAAACAGUGAGACGAGCAAGCGGCUGUUAUUUGUCUCAAAAUGUCUUCAUUCUGAGAAUUGCAGACUGCAGAUAAGAGCUGUCAAUCAGCAGUCAUGAACAUUGUUAAAACUAGCGAAGACUCUUUUCAAACUUCUAUAAAGAAGAAAAUCCAAACUCCUUAGCCAAGCCCUUAUAAUCAAGGUCUCCCAAGAGCUUAUUCUUUAAUCAAUUAAUUAAUUCAAUAAAUAUUUAUGGAUUGCCUACCAUGUGCCAGGCACAUUAGUAGUUGCUCCAGAGAGUAUUGAACAAAAAAGACAAAAUCCUUACUCUCCUGGAGCUGGCAUUUUAGGAAGUGGACAGCAAAUGCUUAAACUAGGGGUUGGCAGAUUAUGGCCUAUAGGUCAAAUCCAUCUUGCCACCUACUUUUGUAAAUAAAGUUUUAUUGGAACACAGCCAUGCUCAUUUAUUUUACUUACUGUCUAUGGCUGGUUUUACACCACAAUGGUAGAGUUAGUAGUUGUGACGGCAACCGUAUGGCCUGCAAAGCCUAAAAUAUUUACCAUCUGGCCCUUUAUAAGACAAGUUUGCCAACCUAUGGCCCAGAAAAAAUAAGCAUAAAAUAUGUCAGGUGACGAUUCGUGUCAUGAAGAAAAAUAAACAGGUGUGGAGAUUAAAAUGAUGAAAGGUGUUUCUAGAGAUUUGCACGCCAAUAACAUGACCAUGAAUAAAAGAGCCAAAUGAAAGAGAGCAAACCACAAGAAACAGUUAACUGAGGAAAAUGGGUUCAGGGAGAGAAAACAGCAAAUGCAAAGACCACGCCACAAAACCAUGCCACUUGGCAUGUUUAAAAACAUCAAGAAGGGCUGGGCACAGUGGCUCACACCUGUAAUCUCAGCACUUUGGGAGGCCAAGGUGGAUGGAUUGCUUGAGCCUAGGAGUUCAAGACAAGCCUGAGCAAUGUGGCAAAACCCUGUCUCUACAAAAAUACAAAAAAUUAGCCGGGUAUGGUGGCACUCACCUGUAGUCCAGCUACUCAGGAGGCUGAGAUUGGAGGAUUGUUUGAGUCCAGGAGGUUAAGACUGCAAUGAGCCAUGAAUGUGCCACUGCAUUCCAGCCUGGGUGACAGAGUGAGACCCUGUUUCGAAAAACAAAACAAAACAAAAAUAAACAAACAAAAACAUCAAGAAGGUACACAGGGUUGCAGCUGAGUGAGCAAGGGGAGGAGAAACAAAGAUGAGAUAAGAAAGCUGCCCAAGGGCCAGACCAUGGAGGACUUGAAGGCCCAGGUACCGACCUUGGUUUUAUGGUGAGUGGGGUGUAAAGCCGUCAUAGGUUUGGAGUAGACAAUGGUCUGACUAUGUGUUUUGAGAGAUCUCUUUGACUGUUGUGUAGAGCAAAGGAUUCAGGAUAAAGAGUGGAAGCAGCAUGGCCAGUGAAGAGGCUACUCCAAAAGUCCAGAUAAGAGAUGCUAGCAUCUUGGACAAGGAUAAUAGCCCUGAGGUGGUGAAAGGUGGUCCAAUUCAGGGUACAUUUGGGAGGCAGAGCCAGUAGGAUUCCCUGAUGGAUUAGGCAUGGAGGCAAAAGGGAUCUCAAGGUUUGGGGCCUGAGUCACUUGAAAAAUGAAACUGCCAUUUAUGAGAUGGGAAAGGUAGGAGGAGAGGCAGACGGGGAGAGCAAGAGAGUGGACAUCAGGAUUUCUGCUUUGAAGGCAUCAAGUCUGAGUGUUUAUUAAGUAGACAUGGGCAAGGCAGCGUCAUCCACUGCUGCUCUCUUUUGCUUACCUCCUUGUGGCUUGUGAGGGCCUGCUUAUUAGGUUCCUGUGGACCCUCCAACUUAUUUCCUGCUUCUCUCCUUCUCAGCCCUGCCUCCUGCUAUGCAAGCCUUCAGCCUCUUGAACAGGUUACACACCUUUUUGCCUGGUAGCCCUUCCAUCCUCCAGGUUGCAACUAAAAUACUACCUUCUGACAAGAGAUCUUACCAGCCUGCCACCUCCUGUUAAUCUCUACUUCAGUCCCCAUAUCUUACCUACAUAGAGUGUUUCUACUUUCAGUUAUUUAAUUAAUUAGUUGACUUGUCUUUUGUCUGCCCUUUCGGCCUCUCCAUGCCCCGCAAAGCUGAAAGUCAUAGCCAAUAUGCAGCCUGUGUCUGUCUCAUUCUUUACCACAUUCCCAGGGCUUAGCAUAGUCUUUGCUGCACAACUUUUAACUUUUUCUUUUUCAGCUAUAAAACCCUUUCCUGAUGUGAAAUCUUGUGCAGACCCCAGUAUGCUUGUUCAUUUAUUCAUUAUGCAGAUAAAACAGGUGUGACUCUGGUUGAAUUGGGGCUGAGGGGUCCCAUAUUGUGGCCCCUGUCCUGAGAACUAUUACCCGUGUUAAACCGGACACCUCCCCACACUCCAGUUAUCAGUGUCAGAAUGUCCAAGGCAUCAUACUUCCCGGGGCAAUUAAAUAUCAAAAGAAAAAAAAAUCAUAUCAACGUAAGAUUGGCACCAUUUCAUUUUGCUAAAUAAAGAUAUUUAAAAACCUCCUAGCUGCUAGCUACUCUAUUAGUCAGAGUGUGCUACAGGAAGAAAUAACCCUCCGGAUCUCUUAGCUUCAUACAAUGGAAGCUUAUUUUUCUCUCCCCCUACAUGCCCAGGGAGGUUGGCAGUGUUGUAGUCACUGGGGAAUCCAGGCUGACAGCGACUGAGUCUUGACAUAUAUUUCCAUGACCUCUGAGGCAGGACAAUGGAUCAAGGCAGACUGUCCACUGGCUUUCAGACAUUCUGCCUGGAAGUGACAUGUUCUUUUUACUUUUCUUUCAUUUGUGAAGACAAAUCACUUGGCCAGACCUCACUUAAACAGGGCCAGGAAGAGUAAUCCUCCCACACACCAUUCUUAUUCUUCUUUUAUCUCUUCCCUAAUUCAGCAGCCAAGUUGCCUUGCACCCAGGCCUCAGAUACAGAGCUGUCCCAGUAGAUUCAGACUAGCAUGGCAUCUCUUUCCUAUGACAAAUGACAGUUGAAGUUUUAGAGAAGAUUCCUGAAACUUGGAAGUUGUAGGGAGGAUAGCUGGAUCCUGAUCCUAUCCUAGCUAGCACCAAUGAGGACUGGGAGGAAGAGGCUGGGACAUGAGAUGUAUUCUCUUCUUUGUUCCUCACUCUAUCUCUGUGGGUGGAAAAAAUUACUCCCAUUCUAUAGAUGAGAGACCAGAACCUCAGAGAGGUUAAGCAACUUUCUUAGGGGGCACAGCUAGGAGGGUAGGCUGAAUAAUGAUCCCCCUAAAAUGUCCACAUUCUAAUCCCAAAAACUUAUUUAAAAAGGGACUUUGCAGGGGUGACUGAGUUAAGGAUCCUCAGAUGAGGAGGUUUUCAUGGAUUGUUUGGGUGGGCCCAAUGUAAUCCAAGGAUCCUUUCAAGAGCAAGGCAGGAGGGCCAGAGUCAGAGAAACAGACACGACAAUGGAAGCAGAGGUUGGGGUGAUACUGGAGUGGGAGGGGCCACCAGCCAAGGAAUGCAGGCAGCCUCUAGGAGCUGGAAAAGGCAAGAAAGCAUGUUUCCUCCUCGAGCCCCGUCAAGGAACCAGCCCCACUGGCAGCUUGAUUUUAAUCCUGUAAGACCCAUUUUGGACUUUUGAGCUCCAGAGCUGUAAGAUAAUAAAUGUGUGUUGUGUUAGGCCAGUUGGUGGUAAUUUGUUAUAGCAACAACUGGAAACUAACACAGGUUGGCACAGAGGGGAGGGAGGCUUUGCGCGCAGGCCUGUCUGGCUUCAACCUCCAUUUCAUCAUGGGCCAGGAGGCCUGAACCACAGAUGAGAGACCUGGGCAGCAGAGGACAGGUGGGAGCUGGUUAAGGGGAAAUAACAAAGAUAUGACUGAUAAGGGACUUGAUGUGGCAGAUGAAGGAGAGGUAGGACUUAGGAUGAGGCCCCAAUAUGGCUUGACAACGAUGGGGAUGGGAGGGUACCAUUCACCCAGAUGGGCCAUGCGGGAGGAAGAGCUGGUUUUCCCAGGAAGAUGAGGUCAGAUUUGAGCCUGUUGAAUGUGACAUUUAUGUGGAACUGACCUGCGAGGGGGGGAGGACCAUUUGGAUCUAGGUGUCAGGAGGGUGGCUUGGGGGACAGCUGGGGAUCUGGGCAUUGUAGGUGAAUAGCCACUGAAUCUGUGGAUUUGGCUGAGAUCACCCCAGGAGAGUGCGAAGUGGGAGAAGAGAAGAGAGACAAUGCUGAAACCCCAUGGGAACUGACAUUAAGUGACAACCAAAGGAAGAUAACUCAGUGAAGGGGACAGAAAUAGUCUAGCAGCCAGCAAACCAGUGAAGUGUCAUGCAUGGAAACCCAGGAAAUACAGAGCCUCAAGGAGGGAGAAUGGGGGGAAACACCAGCCAGCACUGCAGCAUUUGACAGCAUCAAAAGCUGACUGGAGCUUGACUAAGACAUUCCAUUAGGUUUGGGAAUUUGGAAUCCAUUGGUGACCUUAGGGAGAGCCAUUUCCCCAGAGAGGCAGGGGAAAAGCCAGAUUGCACCGGGGUGAGGAAAGGAAGAGGGGUGACGAUGCAUGGAUGGCAGGUUAUAGAGAGAUGUGUUUAUUUUAUUGGAAGAUAUGAUACAAACUACACCAAAGACAGCCAGGAACCUUCCUGAACAAAAAGUACAAAGGAAAAUAAUACAGAAUGACAAAACCUACUCAACAGCUUAACCGUAAGACCUCGGGGUAGUCUAAAUCAGAGAUGGAUGACAGCCUCCCAGGAAAGUGGCAAUAUAAGACAGCAUUGGGGAUUCAGCGGGGCGACCACUGUCACCGCAAGGCCGCCCUGCAGACAGCACCUGUCCUAAGAGGGCUGCAAGCCCUGGAGAGCAACAUUAAGGUGAUGUCUUUCAACAGCUUCAGUUGCCAGCUGUGAAUUCCAAGCCAUCCUCUUACCUUCACUUUGGGCAGACGCUGACUCCUUGAUUUUCUCAUCUUUCUGCAUUAUCUUGGCCUGUGGAUAGUGUCCACAAGAAAUGAAGACUAUAGGCUCAAGGUGGGGUAGCAGACACCACCAGUACCUGGCCGCAGCACCCCUAUCUUUGCCAUUUCAGUGCACGCAGCCAGACUUCCAGUUGCCAGCACCUAUGGAUAUUUGCAGGUAGGCAUUCUCUGGCCAUCAGAGCCUGCUUUACUUUUUAAUUUUUUUUCUAUCAUUACUUAUUUUAUUUUACUUUAAGUUCUGGGAUACAUGUGCUGAAUGUGCAGGUUUGUUACAUAGGUAUACAUGUGCCAUGGUGGUUUGCUGCACCUUUCAACCAAUCAUCUAGGUUUUAAGGCCUGCAUGCAUUAGGUAUUUGUCCUAAUGCUCUCCCUUCCCUUUCCUCCCACCCCCUGACAGGCUUCAGUGUGUGA
rnacentral:lncRNA from 1 species